UGAAAGCCCAAGCCUAUGUUUUGUUAGUCAGUGUGCGCUUCUCUCUCACACAUCCACACCUUUGCUUUCUCUUGGCUGUGAAGACAGCACUGGGAGAACAGCAGAUGGAGGGAAGGAGGGAAGAAAGCUAAAGACAAACUCUGCAGAGUCCAGUGCACCAACAAAGGAUGCCUCGACUCCUUCAAUAUACUCGGCAGCUGCUAACCUGUUGCCUGCUUUAAGAUCUUUGCCUGUUGGCAGCCAGCACCACUCUGUGACACAGUCACAUUCUGAAAAACAAAAUCAAGCACUAGGGUUCUGUUUUUCACUGGCCUUCCAUGGGCUUGACUGUACCAUUCAGAUGCAAGGAGGAACAGUGGAAGGUCACAUUGCCCCAAGUGAGGUUGGAAGAGAUUGUGUAAGGACAGUUCCUCCCCAAGGCUCAGCAGGACCAGCCAGGCUACACCAUCUAUAUAAAAGGGGUGACUAGAUGACCUCCUGAGGUCCUCAUGGUCUGUGAUUGCAAGAAUGGAGUGCAGGGACUUUGCCUUAGCCCAGCAUGGCUACAACCCGUACCCCUGAAACAUGGAAGAUAGCCAAUGUUGCCGUUUGAGAUGGAGCCUAUGCAACACGAAAAAGAAAGAAGCCAAACCCAACAGAGACACGUAUUUCCUACGCCUAUGCAAAAAACACAACUUCGUUCCCAGAGGACUAAACAUCUACAAUCUGUUGGUCUAAUAAAAGAUUUACCCAAAGAA